rnacentral:rRNA from 1 species
UACAGAGGGUGCAAGCGUUAAUCGGAAUGACUGGGCGUAAAGCGUGUGUAGGUGGUUGGAUAAGUUAGAUGUGAAAUCCCCGGGCUUAACCUGGGAACUGCGUUUAAGACUGUCUAGCUAGAGUACUGUAGAGGAUAGUGGAAUUUCCAGUGUAGCGGUGAAAUGCGUAGAUAUUGGAAGGAACACCAGUGGCGAAGGCGACUAUCUGGAUAGAUACUGACACUGAGACACGAAAGCGUGGGGAGCAAACAGG